AACAUUUUUUCUGCACAAUGCGUUCUCAGCCAACACAUUCUCCUACGCCUCAAGAAUUUGAAAGUCGGAUUCGCAAAUACAUCCUAGAUAACGUAAUAGAUUUAUGUACGUGAAGUCCGAAACAAGGCCUCGCCUUACAUAUGUACAUCUGUAAGUACACCGUGCUAAGGCUGGCACCAAAAAUAUCUAUUACACGGAAACAGCAGAAAUUUGUUUCCCUUGCAUAUAUCACCGCCACCGCAUGUGGAAAGGGUUUGAUAACCAGUAUUGUCAACCCUCUGUAUGCAAUCCAGGGAAAUGAGAGGAAUGAGAAUCAUCAUCGGUCGCACAUGUGCACCAGGAGAGAGUAAAGACAGAAUCAAUGAAUUAUGUACCCAUGAGCGGUCCCUACCCAAACGACCCCUACACAUACCAGUUAGGGGUUCUUUUCCUCACACCCACAGGGGGUUCUUUUCCAUCCGCCUGCCCAAUUGAAACAAACUUUUUAUUGCCAUCUGAGAAAUGCCAAUAGAGGGAUGCACAAGCUUGAAUAUGGUUUUCUCUUUUACGUAAUUACAAUAAUUUAUUUCAUCGUUCAAAAAUGCUUUAUAUUCUUCUUCUUCUCUUCCUUUUUGAGUGGUUCUGUUGUCUGCCUUUCACUACUACUGGUUGCUUGUUGAUUUUAUUCUUGAUGUUCGCUUUUUCAGAUCUAAUGCAGAUACAUAGGUAUGUGUUUAUGUAGGUAUAUAAUAAGUAUUUACAAAAACGCUUGAUUCUUCAAUAUUCAUUGUCUGUGGUAUCGGUAUCAAAUUGGUAUCGGUAUUGUAUUCAGCGGCAUAUGUUUGAUUCCUCUGUAUAUUCAAUUCAACUGUUGUACGCAACUUAAGCUUAAAGCCCUCAAAUGCCUCUCGCUGUGGGAAUUGGGUCAGUGGGUGUCUGUGUCGGUUUUAUUAGGGGAAAGUGGGUGUUUGUAGGUGGUUGGUUGGGUAUGUUGAGGGUCGAAUCGUAUUGGCGGCAUAUAAGUACGAGUACAUACUCUGAUUGACCAACUCUGCGCACUGCUUUGUCAAAUAUCAGUCGUUAUAUUUUCAGAACUUGGUAUUAUUGCAUGUAUAUAUUGUAUCUUGGGUAGGCGCUGGCCUGCCCUCACUAAUUGAUAUACGUACGAGUAUAUGUAACAUUAAAAGUUUAUUCUUGUCCAUAUUUCGAUUCUCGAGUUUGUUUAUACAAUUUACAAAUGAAUUGGGUUUAUCGUUAUUAUUCGAUUUGCUCAACAAAAUGUAAACCCUCGUUUAAUACUGACAUAAAUACUUAAGAUUAGUCAUGGCUUAGAGCUAAAUGCUGAAACGAAACAAAAGAAGCCUCUCCGAGGCUCCCUUGGUUGGGGACCCCGAACAGAACUCAAUCUUCCCGUUGCUCGAACGCGCCCUAAAACGAAAAACCCACACAGUCGAGUCGAGUCGCGUCACUCCCCCUUGUGGGUGGGGGGCUGCGUCGAUGUCGGUGUAAGUGUGGAUGAUGUAGGGGCCACAGAGGGCGCAAAAAUUUUGAAACCAUACGUAAAACUUGAGUGUCGAAGUGUGUCGAAAUAUGCUUUCAAUAGUGCCUCGAUUUAUUCAAAUACAAUUUGUAUGUUUAUUUGUUUUGUAUUUAAUUGCAUUUGCUGUUUCUUCAAUUUUGUAUUUUUGUCUCUUUCAUUCUUUCAUAAAUGUAACGUCUAAUUUUAAUAAUGAGUUUUUUUAUUAUGUGGUUUUUGUUUGUUUGUGUGUGGGUGUGUAUGUGUCUGUAUAGAUUUACGCUUCUUCAUGCUCAAUCUUUGUAUAUUUGUUUUUAAGCAUAAACUUCUAUAAAUUAGGACUUAUACAUAAAGGAAAGAAAGAUUUUGGUUUAGUUUUUUUUUUGUGGAUUUCGUGUCGUAUUUGUAUAUAGUGGGGAUGAUUACGUUUCAUUUCGUUCUUUUCGUAUAGAUCGACAUAUACGAACCUUUCUCAAUUACAAUUUUUGUGGUUUUGUAUUUUUUUAUAAAAAAA
rnacentral:sRNA from 1 species